rnacentral:rRNA from 1 species
UGGGGAAUUUUGGACAAUGGGGGCAACCCUGAUCCAGCAAUGCCGCGUGUGUGAAGAAGGCCUUCGGGUUGUAAAGCACUUUUGUCCGGGAAGAAAUCCCCUGCCCUAAUACGGCGGGGGGAUGACGGUACCGGAAGAAUAAGCACCGGCUAACUACGUGCCAGCAGCCGCGGUAAUACGUAGGGUGCGAGCGUUAAUCGGAAUUACUGGGCGUAAAGCGUGCGCAGGCGGUGAUGUAAGACCGAUGUGAAAUCCCCGGGCUCAACCUGGGAACUGCAUUGGUGACUGGCAGGCUAGAGUAUGGCAGAGGGGGGUAGAAUUCCACGUGUAGCAGUGAAAUGCGUAGAGAUGUGGAGGAAUACCGAUGGCGAAGGCAGCCCCCUGGGCCAAUACUGACGCUCAUGCACGAAAGCGUGGGGAGCAAACAGGAUUAGAUACCCUGGUAGUCCACGCCCUAAACGAUGUCAACUAGUUGUUGGGGAUUCAUUUCCUUAGUAACGUAGCUAACGCGUGAAGUUGACCGCCUGGGGAGUACGGUCGCAAGAUUAAAACUCAAAAUGAAUUGACGGGGUCAUAGCUGUUUCCU